rnacentral:lncRNA from 1 species
UACUACAAUAAAAAAAUUAAUAAGCAUUUUGUAAAAAAUGUUUGUAUUUAUUUCUCUAUUUUUAAAACCUCCAAUCGAUUCAACUGACAUGAACACCCCCCAAAAAGGAAAGAGUAGAAAAAAAGACAUCAUUAAGUUUAAAGGCAAACUCUAGAAUCUACAGCCCACAAAACAGAUGGUCAGUGACUAUGUACACAAGGAAUUGUCUUUUAUGCCAAAGCAAUGAGGAAAAAGUAACCUUGAAAAAAAAUCCAGCUCUCACUUAAGCAGAAAAAUAUUUUCAGAAAUCUGAUUUACAAGUAAAAUAUGAUGCUUAUCAUUACUUAUAAACUGCAGUUUUCACUAAAGAAAUAGGGAUAACAUUACAAAGCAUUAAGAAAUAACUCUUACCAAGUCAGAACCACACCAAUGGCAAAAGCACAUGAUCACAAACCGCUAAAUAUUGGACAAAGACCAAAACCCUGAGCAUGGGAGAGGCUGAAAGCACAAUGAAAAACACUUCAAGUUAAGGAUGAGUGAAAGAAGCUGACGUGGAAGCCAGGGAUACUAAUGGCAGGCAUUAUUUUCCAGAAAGGUCCUGGGUAAGAGGUCAUUGUUCUGUAUCACGCUGAGUUUUUACUGCAAGAAACCUAUGAAAAGUACCCAUUACUAAUAGCACUCAGCAAAGGUGAUCUACCCCAACCAGACAAAGCUGUGUGCCAUUUCCAAGAUGUUGCUGGCACUCGAACUUUCACUCAAGGUGUCUUACAUACCUUCUCCUCACUCUCAUUCAGAAUGUGCUUCCACAUUCUAUGCGCUCAGACUUCAAAAUCUCACCAACUUCAACAUCCAGGAGAAUAGAAGAGAUGGAAAUAAAGGAGGCAAGAAUGGUUUACAGAUCCAGCUGAAACCGAAUGGAAGGAAAGGCAGUGGAUUUCAUCAAGAUCCUACAGACAAGGUGUAAGAUCUGUAAUUUCGAAAGGACAUAUACACAAACUCAUUCAGCCACAUUCCAGUCUAGAAUUAACAUGAAGAAAAUCUAUUAACAAUGGUAAAGCUUUUUUCCUCUCCAAAUGAAUAUGGCAAUACCCAUUCUGGAGAACUCUUAUUCUCUGUUGAAAUAACACCACUUUUCUAUAUGGCCAUCUAGCAAUAAAUAUAAAAAUGGUUAAUUUGCAUA